CCAGAACAGAUGGUACACCUC
rnacentral:miRNA from 1 species